rnacentral:snoRNA from 1 species
GCUUGUGGUAGUUUCUUUCUGGCACAUUUGUUAAGUUUUCAAAUGGGCCUGACUCUGCCACAGACAUAGUAAGGAGCUGGCAAAGGCUUAAAGACAGAAAGAUCUCUCUUAAGCUUUUUGUGCAUCAGAUACUGCUCUCACAAUC